GACGAGAUGGUCUAGUGGUAAGGACAAAGUGUUGCAAAUGGGCCAGGUUCGAGUCGUGGUUGUGUCA